UACGGGGGGGGCAAGCGUUGUUCGGAAUUACUGGGCGUAAAGGCUCGUAGGCGGCCAACUAAGUCGGAUGUGAAAUCCCCAGGCUCAACUUGGGAACUGCAUCCGAUACUGGAUGGCUUGAAUUCGGGAGAGGGAUGCAGAAUUCCAGGUGUGAGCGUGAAAUGCGUAGAUGUCUGGAGGAAUACCGGUGGCGAAGGCGGCAUCCUGGACCGACAUUGACGCUGAGGAGCGAAAGCUAGGGGAGCAAACGGG
rnacentral:rRNA from 1 species